AACGAACGCUGGCGGCAGGCUUAACACAUGCAAGUCGAGCGCCCCGCAAGGGGAGCGGCAGACGGGUGAGUAACGCGUGGGAAUCUACCCAUCUCUACGGAAUAACGCAUGGAAACGUGUGCUAAUACCGUAUACGUCCUUCGGGAGAAAGAUUUAUCGGAGAUGGAUGAGCCCGCGUUGGAUUAGCUAGUUGGUGGGGCAAAGGCCUACCAAGGCGACGAUCCAUAGCUGGUCUGAGAGGAUGAUCGGCCACACUGGGACUGAGACACGGCCCAGACUCCUACGGGAGGCAGCAGUGGGAAUAUUGGACAAUGGGCGCAAGCCUGAUCCAGCCAUGCCGCGUGAGUGAUGAAGGCCCUAGGGUUGUAAAGCUCUUUCACCGGUGAAGAUAAUGACGGUAACCGGAGAAGAAGCCCCGGCUAACUUCGUGCCAGCCGCCGCAGUAAGAC
rnacentral:rRNA from 1 species